rnacentral:tRNA from 1 species
GGGGACGUAGCUCAGCUGGGAGAGCACGACGCUGGCAGCGUCGGGGUCAGGGGUUCGAACCCCCUCGUCUCCA